rnacentral:rRNA from 1 species
GGCUCAGAACGAACGCGGGCGGCGCGCUUAACAGAUGCAAGUCUGAGGGGCUUGGGGGCAACUCCAAGUCACUGGCGGACGGGUGAGUAACACGUGAGUAAUCAUCCUUCGAGUGUGGAAUAACCUGCCGAAAGGCGGGCUAAUACCGCAUAACACUCUCCUGACUGAGGUCGGGAGAUUCAAAGCCGGGGACCGCAAGGCCUGGCGCUUGAAGACGAGCUCGCGCCUGAUUAGCUAGUUGGUGGGGUAAUGGCCUACCAAGGCGAUGAUCAGUAGCCGAUCUGAGAGGAUGACCGGCCACACUGGUACUGAGACACGGGCCAGACUCCUACGGGAGGCAGCAGUGGGGAAUCUUGGGCAAUGGGCGAAAGCCUGACCCAGCGACGCCGCGUGAAGGAUGACGGUUUUCGGACUGUAAACUUCUGUGAGGACAGAAAGAGGGGACAAGACCCAACACGUCUUGUUUCUGAUAGUACGUCCAGAGGAAGCCCCGGCUAACUCCGUGCCAGCAGCCGCGGUAAUACGGAGGGGGCAAGCGUUGUUCGGAAUUACUGGGCGUAAAGGGCGCGUAGGCGGCUUUUUAAGUCGGUGGUGAAAUCCCGUGGCUCAACUGCGGAAUGGCCAUCGAUACUGGAAAGCUUGAAUCCGGAAGAGGUCGGCGGAAUUACUGGUGUAGCGGUGAAAUGCGUAGAUAUCAGUAGGAACACCGAUGGCGAAGGCAGCUGGCUGGACCGGUAUUGACGCUGAGGCGCGAAAGCGUGGGGAUCAAACAGGAUUAGAUACCCUGGUAGUCCACGCCCUAAACCAUGGAUACUUGGUGUGACCACCGCAGUGGUGGUUGUGCCGAAGCUAACGCAUUAAGUAUCCCGCCUGGGGAGUACGGUCGC